GCGGAUAUGGCGGAACUGGCAGACGCGCACGGUUCAGGUCCGUGUGAGGCAACUCAUGGAGGUUCGAGUCCUCUUAUCCGCACCA
rnacentral:tRNA from 1 species